AACACACACCUUUCGCCGAUCUCUCGCUGUAUGUACGAAGUCCACGUUUCCGGGUCUGCUUCUGAACCGUAGAUCAUCUUGCCGUUGGCUAGACUUUAGAUGCGUAGGAAGCCAUUUCUUGAGUACGGCUUCUUGAGGGUAAGUAAGAGACUGUUGUUCAAGCUGAAGUCGCCUGAUUCACAGUUUGAACAGAUACACGUGGAGUGGAAAGACAGACCACUCAUUGCCUAGCGAUGGAAGUUUUAUCAGCGUUUUUGAACUGUGGAACUGUGAAACUGUGUAUCUUGUCGAACUAGAGUCAGCAAAAAUUCGUCUAGCCUAUUCAACCUUCAUGGAAGGGGGUGAGCUCAUGAGCGCUUCUAGAUCACUCGAUGUACUUGGCCUGAUUUUUUGUUUGCUAUACAGAGUAAUAGUCUUGGCUGCUGGUUCAAUCCAACUCCACUGUAUCAAGCACAUUUCUCGACACAAAACCUGUGUAAAACUUGAUUUUAUCAUUUAGCAGUGUGUUGAGCGAUUCAGUGCAACUCAGACUUUGCAGAUGCAAGGUCUUACUCGAGAACUCUAAUCUUGCUUUCAAGUUCCACUAUUUCAUUUGCUUGCUGUUCAAUUGUCCGACGUAAACCAUCAGCUUCAGCCUCAGUGACAUUUUCGACAAUCAACAUCUUCACUUCUAUAGGAUCACUAUAGACUCUAGACAUGUUUUGAGCAACUGACCUGAGGAUGAGGUAGAAUAGCCUCUGCUUUAUGAUUUAGACAUUGCAGCUAUGGAAUAGCUAAUGCGCGUGUGUUGUGUUACUUUAGAUAUAACUGUUGCUGGGACUUGUAGGCUAGCAGUGCUAAUUGUAAUAUACAGACUGUAGUGUGUGUA